rnacentral:rRNA from 1 species
UACGUAGGGUGCAAGCGUUAAUCGGAAUUACUGGGCGUAAAGCGUGCGCAGGCGGCUUUGCAAGACAGAUGUGAAAUCCCCGGGCUUAACCUGGGAACUGCAUUUGUGACUGCAUGGCUGGAGUGCGGCAGAGGGGGAUGGAAUUCCGCGUGUAGCAGUGAAAUGCGUAGAUAUCUGGAGGAACACCGGUGGCGAAGGCGGCAUCCUGGACCGACACUGACGCUGAGGCGCGAAAGCUAGGGGAGCAAACGGG